rnacentral:rRNA from 1 species
ACAGCAGCAGCCACGGUAAUACGGAGGGAGCUAGCGUUGUUCGGAAUUACUGGGCGUAAAGCGCGCGUAGGCGGUUACUCAAGUCAGAGGUGAAAGCCCGGGGCUCAACCCCGGAACUGCCUUUGAAACUAGGUGACUAGAAUCUUGGAGAGGUCAGUGGAAUUCCGAGUGUAGAGGUGAAAUUCGUAGAUAUUCGGAAGAAUACCAGUGGCGAAGGCGACUGACUGGACAAGUAUUGACGCUGAGGUGCGAAAGCGUGGGGAGCAAACAGGAUUAGAUACCCCCGUAGUCCCUGUCUCUUAUAA